AAAUUUACAAAACCAGAAGUCAUAAUUAGCUUUUUUCUUCUGUCCCUUCUCUUUAGCAGGUUUCCCAGCAGUUCCUUUGGCAGCUAAGGAUAUAAAAGCUGUAUUUAGGCACAGUGGAAAAAUAUUGUGUCCUCUUGAUGUCUGCAUGGGUGUGGUGGGUUGAAUUGCUGUUUAGAAAUACUCCUUCCUUCCGCUUAGCUUCCACAGGAGGAAUUUAUGUCCACUUCUUGACUGUGGGAUUCAUCACAAAACCUCCUUUGGCCAACAGAGCAACUCAGAAGUGGCAGGGCACUGCUGAGAUAAGACUUUAGAGACCUUUCAUGUUGCUGCUUGCUUUUUCCCACUUCUGACACCACCAUGAGAUGCACAUCCUCAGCCUGGCCUGCUGCCUCCAAAAGAAAACAAGAGCCUGGAUCACCUGACUUCCAGCUAGGCAUCAAAUGGAUGAAAAGGCCCGCCUGAGACUGGCAGGACCUCCAGCAGACAGGUGAACUCAAAAAACCUCUAUGGGCUUUUUUCUUUUUGUUUUGCUAUUACUGAGUUUUGAAUCUUUUUAUUGAGCACCAUAAGCAAGGAAAGGGAAUCUGUGGUAGUGUGUGGUACAGUUAAUCUCAAAAGCCUAGAAUCUAUCUGGAGACACACAUUUUGCUAAAGGAGAUAGUUUAUAAGGAGACCUGUUGGUUAGGGCAAUGAUCCCAAAGUCUUAGAAGGUUCUCUGGAUGCCUCCUUCCCUGUUAGUUGUUACUAAAGGAGAAAAGUAGACCUGAAUAUUACAGAAAAGUUUUCAGAAGAAGUUAAACUUUCUUGAGUCUAAAAUGAUAUUGAUUAUAGAUAUAGCUAACAUUUGUUGAAUGAAUUACUGUGUUCCAGAAACUGUUCUUAGUGCUUUUUCAUGUGCAUAACUUUUUCUUUAUAAUAACUUCAUGUCCUCAGUAGCAUACCAGUCUCCAUUUAAAAGACAAAGAAACCAAGGUACGUACGUUUUUAAUAACUUAAAGUAACAGAGUCACUCAAGCACCAGGUGCAAGGAUUGAGAUUCAGAUUUGAUUUAUCUAACUUUGGAGUUUUUAUUCCUAAGCAUGAUUCUAUAUAGUAUUAUAAAACAUACUAUUUUUCCCAUAGAAAGGCAUAUUAAAAAAAUUUUUUUUUUGUAGUAUAGUUGAUUUACAGUGUUGUGUUAGUUUCUACUGUUUGGCAAAGCGAAUCAGUUUCACAUAUACAAAUAUCCACUCUUAAUUUUUUUAUUCUUUCCUCGCAUAGUUUAUUACAGCAUACUGAGUAGAGUUCCCUGUGCCCCAUAGCAGGUUCUUAUUAAGGAAGUU
rnacentral:lncRNA from 1 species